CUCCAUGAAUCCAUGGGACCUGUCUUUUGUGUGGCAGAUUCCCUUCCUAGCCAUGGAAAAUAGAUGUCUUGAUUCCCACCACACCUGCUACCAUACAGGGUUACCAGGCUGUUGGGAAUUGAGCAACACUU
rnacentral:snoRNA from 1 species